AUUGAACGCUGGCGGCAGGCCUAACACAUGCAAGUCGAGCGGAUGAAGGGAGCUUGCUCCUGGAUUCCGCGGCGGACGGGUGAGUAAUGCCUAGGAAUCUGCCUGGUAGUGGGGGAUAACGUCCGGAAACGGGCGCUAAUACCGCAUACGUCCUGAGGGAGAAAGUGGGGGAUCUUCGGACCUCACGCUAUCAGAUGAGCCUAGGCCGGAUUAGCUAGUUGGUGGGGUAAAGGCCUACCAAGGCGACGAUCCGUAACUGGUCUGAGAGGAUGAUCAGUCACACUGGAACGGAGACACGGUCCAGGCUCCUACGGGAGGCAGCAGUGGGGAAUAUUGGACAAUGGGCGAAAGCCUGAUCCAGCCAUGCCGCGUGUGUGAAGAAGGUCUUCGGAUUGUAAAGCACUUUAAGUGGGGAGGAAGGGCAGUAAGUUAAUACCUUGCUGUUUUGACGUUACCAACAGAAUAAGCACCGGCUAACUUCGUG
rnacentral:rRNA from 1 species